AGAGUUUGAUCCUGGCUCAGGACGAACGCUGGCGGCGCGCCUAACACAUGCAAGUCGAACGAGCGAGAGAGAGCUUGCUUUCUUGAGCGAGUGGCGAACGGGUGAGUAACGCGUGAGGAACCUGCCUCAAAGAGGGGGACAACAGUUGGAAACGACUGCUAAUACCGCAUAAGCCCACGGCUCGGCAUCGAGCAGAGGGAAAAGGAGCAAUCCGCUUUGAGAUGGCCUCGCGUCCGAUUAGCUAGUUGGUGAGGUAACGGCCCACCAAGGCGACGAUCGGUAGCCGGACUGAGAGGUUGAACGGCCACAUUGGGACUGAGACACGGCCCAGACUCCUACGGGAGGCAGCAGUGGGGAAUAUUGCACAAUGGGGGAAACCCUGAUGCAGCGACGCCGCGUGGAGGAAGAAGGUCUUCGGAUUGUAAACUCCUGUUGUUGAGGAAGAUAAUGACGGUACUCAACAAGGAAGUGACGGCUAACUACGUGCCAGCAGCCGCGGUAAAACGUAGGUCACAAGCGUUGUCCGGAAUUACUGGGUGUAAAGGGAGCGCAGGCGGGAAGACAAGUUGGAAGUGAAAUCCAUGGGCUCAACCCAUGAACUGCUUUCAAAACUGUUUUUCUUGAGUAGUGCAGAGGUAGGCGGAAUUCCCGGUGUAGCGGUGGAAUGCGUAGAUAUCGGGAGGAACACCAGUGGCGAAGGCGGCCUACUGGGCACCAACUGACGCUGAGGCUCGAAAGUGUGGGUAGCAAACAGGAUUAGAUACCCUGGUAGUCCACACCGUAAACGAUGAUUACUAGGUGUUGGAGGAUUGACCCCUUCAGUGCCGCAGUUAACACAAUAAGUAAUCCACCUGGGGAGUACGACCGCAAGGUUGAAACUCAAAGGAAUUGACGGGGGCCCGCACAAGCAGUGGAGUAUGUGGUUUAAUUCGACGCAACGCGAAGAACCUUACCAAGUCUUGACAU
rnacentral:rRNA from 1 species